rnacentral:rRNA from 1 species
UACGGGGGGGAGCAAGCGUUGUUCGGAUUUACUGGGCGUAAAGGGCGCGUAGGCGGCCACCGCAAGUCGACUGUGAAAUCUCCGGGCUUAACCCGGAAAGGUCAGCCGAUACUGCGGGGCUAGAGUGCAGAAGGGGCAACUGGAAUUCUCGGUGUAGCGGUGAAAUGCGUAGAGAUCCGGAAGAACACCGGUGGCGAAGGCGGCCUGCUGGGCAGUGGGGGAGACCCCUCAAGCUGACACGUG